GCCGUUCCACGCCGGCCCUGCGUGGCACUGGGGGCGACCCUUGUGCAAACCCCCCUUGCACGCCCCCGACCCCUCCCCGUGCCUCACACGAGCGUGCACGGCCCUGUGCGAGACCCCCAGCCCUGCUCACGCUCACACUCACGCUCACACUCACGCUCACUCCCGGGGCUGGCCUGGCACGAGCGGGGAGCGUGCCCGGGUGUGAGCCCCGGCCUCGUGCAAGGCCCAAAUCCUCGUGCAAAUUCCACUUCAAGUGAGCAAAUCCUCGUGUAAGGGUUGUCCUCGUGCAAGGCCUAAAUCCUUGUGCAAGGCCUGAUCCUCGUGCAAGGCCCAAAUCCUCGUGCAAAUUCCACUUCAAGUGAGCAAAUCCUCGUGCAAGGAUUGUCCUCGUGCAAGGCCCAAAUCCUUGUACAAGGCCCAAAUCCUUGUGCAAGGCCUGAUCCUCGUGCAAGGCCCAAUCCUUGUGCGAAUUCCAUGUGCAAGUGAGCAAAUCCUCGUGCAAGGAUUGUCUUUGUGUAAGGCCCGAUCAUCGUUCAAGGCCCAAAUCCUCGUGCAAGGCCCAAAUCCUCGUGUAAACUCCACGUUCAACUGAGCAAAUCCUUGUGCAAGGAUUGUCCUCAUGCCAGGCCCAAAUCCUUGUACAAGGCCUGAUCCUCGUGCAAGGCCCGAUCCUCGUGCAAGGCCUGAUCCUCAUGGCAGGCCCAAAUUCUCGUUCAAGGCUCAAAUCCUCGUGCAAGGCCCAAAUCCUUGUGUAAGGAUUGUGCUCGUGCAAGGCCCAAAUCCUCGUGCAAGGCCUGAUCCUUGUACAAGGCCUGAUCCUCGUGCAAGGCCCAAAUCCUCGUGCAAGG
rnacentral:lncRNA from 1 species